GACGAACGCUGGCGGCGUGCCUAAUACAUGCAAGUCGAGCGGAAGUUGGAGAGCUUGCUCUUCAACUUUAGCGGCGGACGGGUGAGUAACACGUGGGCAACCUGCCCUGCAGAUCGGGAUAACUCCGGGAAACCGGUGCUAAUACCGAAUAGUUUUCGCCACCUCCUGGUGGCGUACGGAAAGACGGUUUCGGCUGUCACUGCAGGAUGGGCCCGCGGCGCAUUAGCUAGUUGGUGGGGUAACGGCCCACCAAGGUGACGAUGCGUAGCCGACCUGAGAGGGUGAUCGGCCACACUGGGACUGAGACACGGCCCAGACUCCUACGGGAGGCAGCAGUAGGGAAUCUUCCGCAAUGGACGAAAGUCUGACGGAGCAACGCCGCGUGGGUGACAAAGGUUUUCGGAUCGUAAAACUCUGUUGUGAGGGAAGAACAAGUACCACUUAACUACUGGUACCUUGACGGUACCUCACCAGAAAGCCACGGCUAACUACGUGCCAGCAGCCGCAGUAACAC
rnacentral:rRNA from 1 species